rnacentral:rRNA from 1 species
CCUACGGGAGGCAGCAGUGGGGAAUAUUGGGCAAUGGGCGCAAGCCUGACCCAGCAACGCCGCGUGAAGGAAGAAGGCUUUCGGGUUGUAAACUUCUUUUCUCAGGGACGAAGAGAGUGAGGGUACUUGAGGAUUAAGCUACGGCUACCUACGUGCCAGCAGCCGCGUAAAUACGUAGGUGGAAAGCGUUAUCCGGAUUUAUUGGGUGUAAAGGGCGUGUAGGCGGGUGCGCAAGUCAGAUGUGAAAUCCCAGGGCUCAACCCCGGAACUGCAUUUGAAACUGUGGUUCUUGAGUUCGUGAGAGGCAAGCGGAAUUCCGGGUGUAGCGGUGAAAUGCGUAGAUAUACGGAGGAACACCAGUGGCGAAGGCGGAUUGCUGGACAAUAACUGACGCUGAGGCGCGAAAGCGUGGGGAGCAAACAGGAUUAGAUACCCCAGUAGUC